rnacentral:rRNA from 1 species
UACGGGGGGGGCAAGCGUUGUUCGGAAUCACUGGGCGUAAAGCGCACGUAGGCGGCUUUCUAAGUCAGGGGUGAAAUCCUGGAGCUCAACUCCAGAACUGCCUUUGAUACUGGAGAGCUUGAGUCCGGAAGAGGUGAGUGGAACUCCGAGUGUAGAGGUGAAAUUCGUAGAUAUUCGGAAGAACACCAGUGGCGAAGGCGGCUCACUGGUCCGGUACUGACGCUGAGGUGCGAAAGCGUGGGGAGCAAACAGG